rnacentral:rRNA from 1 species
GAGAGUUUGAUCCUGGCUCAGGAUGAACGCUAGCUACAGGCUUAACACAUGCAAGUCGAGGGGCAGCAUGGUCUUAGCUUGCUAAGGCCGAUGGCGACCGGCGCACGGGUGAGUAACGCGUAUCCAACCUGCCUUACACUCUUGGACAGCCUUCUGAAAGGGAGAUUAAUACAAGAUGUUAUCAUGAGUAAGCAUUUUCACAUGAUUAAAGGUUUACCGGUGUAAGAUGGGGAUGCGUUCCAUUAGAUAGUAGGCGGGGUAACGGCCCACCUAGUCUUCGAUGGAUAGGGGUUCUGAGAGGAAGGUCCCCCACAUUGGAACUGAGACACGGUCCAAACUCCUACGGGAGGCAGCAGUGAGGAAUAUUGGUCAAUGGACGAGAGUCUGAACCAGCCAAGUAGCGUGAAGGAUGAAGGUUCUAUGGAUUGUAAACUUCUUUUAUACGGGAAUAAACGAAUCCACGUGUGGAUUUUUGCAUGUACCGUAUGAAUAAGGAUCGGCUAACUCCGUGCCAGCAGCCGCGGUAAUACGGAGGAUCCGAGCGUUAUCCGGAUUUAUUGGGUUUAAAGGGAGCGUAGAUGGGUUGUUAAGUCAGUUGUGAAAGUUUGCGGCUCAACCGUAAAAUUGCAAUUGAUACUGGCAGUCUUGAGUACAGUUGAGGUAGGCGGAAUUCGUGGUGUAGCGGUGAAAUGCUUAGAUAUCACGAAGAACUCCGAUUGCGAAGGCAGCUUACUAACCUGUAACUGACAUUGAUGCUCGAAAGUGUGGGUAUCAAACAGGAUUAGAUACCCUGGUAGUCCACACGGUAAGCGAUGAAUACUCGCUGUAGGCGAUAUAUAGUCUGCGGCCAAGCGAAAGCAUUAAGUAUUCCACCUGGGGAGUACGCCGGCAACGGUGAAACUCAAAGGAAUUGACGGGGGCCCGCACAAGCGGAGGAACAUGUGGUUUAAUUCGAUGAUACGCGAGGAACCUUACCUGGGCUUAAAUUGCAACCGAAUAUGGCGGAAACGCUAUAGCUAGCAAUAGCGGUUGUGAAGGUGCUGCAUGGUUGUCGUCAGCUCGUGCCGUGAGGUGUCGGCUUAAGUGCCAUAACGAGCGCAACCCUUGCCGAUAGUUACUAACAGGUUAUGCUGAGGACUCUGUCGGGACUGCCAUCGUAAGAUGUGAGGAAGGUGGGGAUGACGUCAAAUCAGCACGGCCCUUACGUCCGGGGCUACACACGUGUUACAAUGGGGGGUACAGAGGGCUGCUACCACGCAAGUGGAUGCCAAUCCCAAAAACCUCUCUCAGUUCGGAUUGAAGUCUGCAACCCGACUUCAUGAAGCUGGAUUCGCUAGUAAUCGCGCAUCAGCCACGGCGCGGUGAAUACGUUCCCGGGCCUUGUACACACCGCCCGUCAAGCCAUGGGAGCCGGGGGUACCUGAAGUGCGUAACCGCAAGGAGCGCCCUAGGGUAAAACUGGUGACUGGGGCUAAGUCGUAACAAGGUAGCCG